GCCGGCCUGAGAGGGUGUCCGGCCACACUGGGACUGAGAUACGGCCCAGACUCCUACGGGAGGCAGCAGUGGGGAAUAUUGCACAAUGGGCGCAAGCCUGAUGCAGCGACGCCGCGUGAGGGAUGACGGCCUUCGGGUUGUAAACCUCUUUCACCAGGGACGAAGCGCAAGUGACGGUACCUGGAGAAGAAGCACCGGCCAACUACGUGCCAGCAGCCGCGGUAAUACGUAGGGUGCGAGCGUUGUCCGGAAUUACUGGGCGUAAAGAGCUCGUAGGUGGUUUGUCGCGUUGUUCGUGAAAACUCACAGCUCAACUGUGGGCGUGCGGGCGAUACGGGCAGACUGGAGUACUGCAGGGGAGACUGGAAUUCCUGGUGUAGCGGUGGAAUGCGCAGAUAUCAGGAGGAACACCGGUGGCGAAGGCGGGUCUCUGGGCAGUAACUGACGCUGAGGAGCGAAAGCGUGGGGAGCGAACAGGAUUAGAUACCCUGGUAGUCCACGCCGUAAACGGUGGGUACUAGGUGUGGGUUUCCUUCCUUGGGAUCCGUGCCGUAGCU
rnacentral:rRNA from 1 species